rnacentral:rRNA from 1 species
AUUGAACGCUGGCGGCAGGCCUAACACAUGCAAGUCGAGCGGAUGAAGGGAGCUUGCUCCUGGAUUCAGCGGCGGACGGGUGAGUAAUGCCUAGGAAUCUGCCUGGUAGUGGGGGAUAACGUCCGGAAACGGGCGCUAAUACCGCAUACGUCCUGAGGGAGAAAGUGGGGGAUCUUCGGACCUCACGCUAUCAGAUGAGCCUAGGUCGGAUUAGCUAGUUGGUGGGGUAAAGGCCUACCAAGGCGACGAUCCGUAACUGGUCUGAGAGGAUGAUCAGUCACACUGGAACUGAGACACGGUCCAGACUCCUACGGGAGGCAGCAGUGGGGAAUAUUGGACAAUGGGCGAAAGCCUGAUCCAGCCAUGCCGCGUGUGUGAAGAAGGUCUUCGGGCUGUAAAGCACUUUAAGUUGGGAGGAAGGGCAGUAAGUUAAUACCUUGCUGUUUUGACGUUACCAACAGAAUAAGCACCGGCUAACUUCGUG